UACGGGGGGGGCAAGCGUUGUUCGGAAUUACUGGGGCGUAAAAGGGCUCGUAGGUGGCCAACUUAAGUCAGACGUGAAAUCCCCAGGCUCAACUUGGGAAACUGCGUCUGAUACUGGAUGGCUUGAAUUCGGGAGAGGGAUGCAGAAUUCCAGGGUGUAGCGGUGAAUGCGUAGAUAUGUGGAGGAACACCGAUGGCGAAGGCAGCCCCCUGGGUCAAGACUGGACGCUCAUGCACGAAAGCG
rnacentral:rRNA from 1 species